rnacentral:rRNA from 1 species
GUCUACGGCCAUGCCACCCUGAGCAAGCCCGAUCCCGUCUGAUCUCAGAAGCUAAGCAGGGUCAGGCCUGGUUAGUACUUGGAUGGGAGACCACCUAGGAAGACCAGGUGCUGUAGGCG